GAAGUGUUUCACAUUAUCUUUUCAUGAUAAAAAGGUAAAUUUUUACCA
rnacentral:tRNA from 1 species